AUUGAACGCUGGCGGCAGGCCUAAACCAUGCAAGUCGAGCGGGGCGGGGGACGGGUGGGUAAUGCCUAGUAAUCUGCCUGUUGGUGGGGGAUAACGUCGGGAAAGGGGCCCUAAUCCCGCAUCCUUUCAGUUGACCUUAGGGCGGAUUAGCUAGUUGGUGGGGUAAAGGCCUACCAAGGCGACGAUCCGUAACUGGUCUGAGAGGAUGAUCAGUCACACUGGAACUGAGACACGGUCCAGACUCCUACGGGAGGCAGCAGUGGGGAAUAUUGGACAAUGGGCGAAAGCCUGAUCCAGCCAUGCCGCGUGUGUGAAGAAGGUCUUCGGAUUGUAAAGCACUUUAAGUUGGGAGGCGUUACCAACAGAAUAAGCACCGGCUAACUUCGUGCCAGCAGCCGCGGUAAUUC
rnacentral:rRNA from 1 species